AUUGAACGCUGGCGGCAUGCUUUACACAUGCAAGUCGAACGGUAACAGGCCGCAAGGUGCUGACGAGUGGCGAACGGGUGAGUAAUGCAUCGGAACGUGCCCAGUCGUGGGGGAUAACGCAGCGAAAGCUGCGCUAAUACCGCAUACGAUCUAUGGAUGAAAGCGGGGGACCGUAAGGCCUCGCGCGAUUGGAGCGGCCGAUGUCAGAUUAGGUAGUUGGUGGGGUAAAGGCUCACCAAGCCGACGAUCUGUAGCCGGUCUGAGAGGACGACCAGCCACACUGGGACUGAGACACGGCCCAGACUCCUACGGGAGGCAGCAGUGGGGAAUUUUGGACAAUGGGCGCAAGCCUGAUCCAGCAAUGCCGCGUGCAGGAAGAAGGCCUUCGGGUUGUAAACUGCUUUUGUACGGAACGAAACGGCUCUGGUUAAUACCUGGGGCUAAUGACGGUACCGUAAGAAUAAGCACCGGCUAACUACGUGCCAGCAGCCGCCGUAAAAC
rnacentral:rRNA from 1 species